GUGGGGAACCUCAGGUCCUCGGCUUCACAACGUAGACUAGCACAUACUUCACCUGUUCAACAAAACAAAAGAUCUAGGCUGAUGACUCAGGCUCCUCCUCAGAGUCCAACAGCUGGUUGUGGUAGGACUUGCCAACACUGUGGUAAGGAUCAUAGAGACCGACCCUGCUAUUACCUCAACAAUACUUGCUGCAUACGUGGGAGUGCCCAACAUUAUAUAA
rnacentral:lncRNA from 1 species